rnacentral:rRNA from 1 species
UACGAAGGGGGCUAGCGUUGCUCGGAAUCACUGGGCGUAAAGCGCACGUAGGCGGAUUGCUAAGUCAGGGGUGAAAUCCUGGAGCUCAACUCCAGAACUGCCUUUGAUACUGGCGAUCUCGAGUUCGGGAGAGGUGAGUGGAACUGCGAGUGUAGAGGUGAAAUUCGUAGAUAUUCGCAAGAACACCAGUGGCGAAGGCGACUUACUGGACACGUAUUGACGCUGAGGUGCGAAAGCGUGGGGAGCAAACAGG